GUUGUGACUAAUGCCACUCCUCAUAACUCACCAUACGAAAAAAAAAAUGUGCAGCCAUGGUACUCCUUUUUUCAGGAUGCCGUAGGAGCAAUCGAUGGUACACAUAUAGCUGCGUAUGUGUCUUUAGAGGAGCAAGGGAUCUGCACAUGAUGGUCGAUUGUUACGGAGUGCAAUAUUACGCCAAGGACAUAAGCUAACAAUUCCUGUUGGUAAAUAUUACCUUGUUGACGCUGGCUUCCCAUCGGUUUCGGGUUUUCUUGCACCAUACCGUAGGACUCGUUAUCAUCGUAGAGACAUUGAAGGUCAACGUCCUGAAAGUAGUAAGGAGUUGUUCAAUUUUCGACAUUCAUCUUUACGUAAUGUUAUUGAGCGUACAAUUGGGUUGCUAAAAAAAAGAUUUGCAUAUUUGAGACAUCAACCCUAUCACGACAUUGACACACAAGCAAAGUAGUCCUUGCCUGUUCUG